AAAUUGUUGGAACAUAGAAAGUAAUGUUUAGGACACAAGGUAAAGUCUAUUGGUUAAAUUUUAUAGCUAUACAAUAAGCAGAACAUAUAUUGUGCAAGUGCAGUUGGUCAUGAUCAAGAUGGAAGAAGCUAGAAACGUAAUAUAUAUAUGAUGAUUGAAUUUUGAAAAAUUGUACCAUUUCAUCGAUAUAUUUAACCCAAAAUCGGGCUUGAGCUCUAUCAUAAGGAUCAGCUGGAAGCAAUGAGUUUUGUGGCCAUAUCUCAUCAAUGUAUUCAACAAUGAUCAUUGACUCACAUAUGGGUUUUCCAUCAUGAACUAGCACCGGAGUCUUCUUGUGUACUGGGUUAUAUUGAAGAAGUUCAGCAGGAAGCAAUGAGUUCUGUGGCCAUAUUUCAUCGAUGUAUUCAAUAAUGAUCAUGGACUCACAUAUGGGUUUUCCAUCAUGAACUAGUACCGGAAUCGUCUUGUGUACUGGGUUAUAUUGAAGAAGUUGGGGACUCUUAUUGAAGCGAUCUUCCUCUAUGUUUUCAUAUGGUAUACCCUUUAGAUUUAGGGUCCAUACUACCCUUAAAGUAAAAGGACUAUACCAAAAUCCAUGUAGUUUCACCUCUGCCAUCCUAGCUUGUGAUUUCUUAAGCUAACACUAGUCAUUUUAUCUAAGGUGAUCUAUUGAGUCAUUUAGCUUGUUCAACUAGUCAAAUUCAAAAAGAAUAUGUAUUGCUAAUUGUUAGCAUCAUGUGUGACUAACUUUAGUAUGAAAAGUAUUUAAAACUAAGAAAAUAGGACGUUGUCGGCAACAACGGAUCUUGGAUAGUGUGGAGGGGUCAAUUGUUUAACAAAUAUCUAAAGAAUUAUAUAAAAGUGUAUUAUAUUAGUAAUUGUAUAACAAUUUUUCAUAUAAUUAUUUUAAAUUUUAUUUUUUUCUUAAUUUAUUUUUUUCUUUUUUAGACUCCAACCAUGAUUCUCAACAUAUACAAAAAUACUUUUUAUGACGUGGAUUUAAUAUGCCUACUUAUUAAAAAGAAGAUAACUUGAAAGUAUCUGGCUCCUAUAGACUCCAAAGAAGAUCUGCCCUUAGUUGUGAUGUCAAUUAAUUUUACAUUGAAAAAAAUAUCUCAUUAUAUAUUAAUAUAAAAUUACAUGUCCAUCCAUUCAACUCUAAAACUAUCUACUUGCCAUUAUAUUAUAUUAAAUGAAAUGAAAAUUAUUUAACAAUAUUUUUUUCUUUAUUUUGUUGGUUAAUUUCUUCUCCACAAAUAUAUAUAACCGUAUAAGAAGCCUAUUCUUCGUCUACCUUUUUUGGGGGCAUGUUCAUUCAAAUAAAUGUUAUCUUUUUCUGCCCCACUAGCGGUGUCGUAAGUGCUUGCAUCACUAAGAAAUGAUCUACAAUUAUAGGUACGUAUUAACACUCUUGUUACUCUUUUAUUUUUGUCAAAUGAUAAUUCAUUAAAAGGCAAAAUGGACCUCACAACUCAGCUGUAUUGAGUCCAAUUACAAGUAGAGUUAACCAACUAACAAACACUAAAAGAUUAAAGAAUAAACAUAAAUCUCUACCAAGUCUCCCUCUUCAUUCUCUUCACCUCUCUAUCUCUCUCACAAUUUAUUUUUUAAAAACGAAUAUUUAAGGGAGAGAUUAAGAAAGAGAAUAAUUGAUGAGAGAGAUUAAGAGUGCAAAGGAAGAGUUGGAGAGAUAAUCUAUUUUCGAUCAUGAUUACAUGUUGUCAGACGCAAAAUUCACAAUAAAAGAUUAAACAAUGAGCAUAAAGUGGCAUUGGGAGCGCUCACUAGUGUUUGUGGUCUUACUUGUAAAAAAGACUAAGUAAAACAAACAAAAUAACAUAUCAUGAAUUGGAUCCUCUCCACCUCUCUAUCUUUCUAAUAAUUUAUUUUAAAAAAUAUUAAAGAGAGAAAAAAGUAAGAAAGAGAAGAAAAAUUGACGAGAGAUAGAGAGUGUAGAUGAAGAGUUGGGGGAGAUGAUCUAUUUACGAUCACAACAUGUUGCUAGACACAAAACACACGUUAGAAGAUUAAACAAUGAACAUAAGUGAUAUUGGGAGCACUCACUAGUACUUGUGGUAUGGCUUGUAAAAAAUGACUAAACAAAACAAACAAAAGAGCAUAUCAUGACUUGGAUCCUCUCCACAAAGACCGACUCUCCAACUUUGUAUCUCAUAAUUUAUUUUUUAAAAAAUAUCGAAGAUAGAAAAAAAAAAGUAAGAAAAAAAAUAAUUGAUGAGAAAGAAAGAGAGGUAGAGAGAGUGCAGAGGAAGAGUUGGGGAAGAUAUCUAUUUUCGAUCAUGAUCACAUGAUAAAAAAUACACACUAAAAGAUUAAACAAUGAGUAUAAAGUGACAUUAUAAGCACUAACUAGUAGGGAUGAGAAUAAGCUAGGCCGUCCGUCAGGGCCUAUGGCCUGGCCUGGCCUGACCUACUUAUUGUCUGGCCUGGCCUGACCUAUUUAAUAAAAAGGCUAGGCUCAUGCCAUUUUUAAAGCCUAUUUAUUUAAAUAGGCCAGACUCGGCUUAUAAAAAAGCUUAUUAGGCCUGAAAGGCCGACCUAUAUAUAUUUUAUUAUUUAUUAAUAUUAUAUUAAUAAUAUUAUUUCCUAUUUUAAAUUUUAUCAAUUAAGCAAUUAUUCGGUAAACAUUCCAUAUUCAGUAGUUGUUCCAUAUUCGGUAGAAUUCCAUAUUUGGUAGUCAUUUCAUAUUUGGUAGUUGUUCAAUUAGUCAAUCACUCAACAAUAUUCCAUAUUUGUUUAAGAGGUAAUAAUGAAUGUGUUUGUUUCAAAAAAAAAUCUAUUAUUUGACACAAAAAAUUAUUUUUUAGGGUUUAAAGGAUGUUUGUUUCAUAUUUUUUAAAAAUUAUUUUAAAUAGGCUUUAAAAUAGGCUUCCAAGCCUGGCCAUACUUUUAAAAAUGUCAGGCCAGACCGAAAAAAAGCUUAUGAUAGGCCGUGGGCCAGACUUAGGCCUUUUAGGGUUUAAAGGAUGUUUGUUUCAUAUUUUUUAAAAAUUACUUUAAAUAGACUUCCAGGCCAGGCCAAACUUUUAAAAAGGUCAGGCCAGACCAGACUUUUAAAAAGGCCAGGCCAGGCCGAAAAAAAAGCCUAUGAUAGGUCGUAGGCCAAACUUAGGCCUAAAAAAUAAAUCGUAGGCCAGACUUAGGCCUUUCAAAGUCUGGUCUGACCUGACCUAUUCCCACCUUUACUAACUAGUACUUGUGGUCUCACUCAUAAAAAUGAUUAAAUAAAGAAAAGAAAAAAACAAAUCAUGAUUGAAUUAUCUCCACCAAGUCUUCUUUUCCACUUUCUCAACCUCUCUAUCUCUCUCCUAAUUUAUCUUAAAAAAAUAUUGAAAAGAGACUAAAAGUAAGAAUAAUUAAUGAGAGAGAUAGAGAGGUAGAGAGAAUGUAGAAAGAGAAUUGGAGAAAAUGAUUCAUUUUUUAUCAUGAUCAAAUGUUAUCAAACACAAAAUACACACUAAAAGAUUAAACAAUGAGUCUGACAUCAUUAGUUACAAAAUGAAAGGAGUUACGUAUAUAUUAAUAAUAUUAAAUGAAAAAUGAUUAGUAAAUAAAUUUUUUCUAUUAACAAAAAAAGGUAUAUCUAAAUUAUAUAUAUAUAUAUAUUAUACUUUUAAAAUUGUGAAGUAAUCUAGGUUACUAAAUACAUCUAUUUUGAUGGAAAAAUAAAACUACAAGGUAGUAAUCAACUAAACUAUAAAUUUAUAAGCCGUGUGGUACAUACUCUUAAUAUUAAAAGAAAUGAAAUUAUUUAAAACUUUUAUUAGUGAAGUACAAAAACAUAAAGCAACUACUAUAGCAUAAAGAAAUACACAUGACUCAUGAAGAUACAAAUGCUUAUAUAUUACUCAAGAAGAUGCCAAGAUUUUUUCAAAAAGAGGCUUCAAAAAAGCCACGAACUUCUCUUGGUGAGGGGUAUUUUCUUUGAUGACUUGAACAUCCUUGAAAUUAUUAAACCAUAAAUGCAAAUGGGGGAACCUCUCAGUUUGCAAAAUUUCCACUUUAAAUGUAAUUUCCAAAACCUCAAUAAAUUUGACAAAAGAUCCGAGAGCUAUGUCUACAAUGUUAAUGUUGUCUCCUCCAUAAAAUUUAUUUUCAUCUUUCAAACAUUGAUCCUCAACAACUCCUAGCCGUUCCCAUAGAUUCUCUUUGGCCUUCUCUCGGUCUUCACUACUUUUGCUACGAAUGAUUGCUGAAAGUGUCGAAAUCUAUAAGUUUGAAUCAAGAUGAGAUUGUUAGAACAUAGAAAGUAAUGUUUAAGAUACAUGGUAAACUCUAUUAGUUAUAGCAAUAAGCAGAACAUGACUUGAAAAGUAAGUAAACACGCACACACAUACAUAAUAAUUAAAUUUUAAAAAAUUGUACCAUUUCAUCGAUAUAUUUAACCCAAAAUCGGGCUUGAGCUCUAUCAUAAGGAUCAGCUGGAAGCAAUGAGUUUUGUGGCCAUAUCUCAUCAAUGUAUUCAACAAUGAUCAUUGACUCACAUAUGGGUUUUCCAUCAUGAACUAGCACCGGAGUCUUCUUGUGUACUGGGUUAUAUUGAAGAAGUUGUGGACUCUUAUUGAAGCGAUCUUCCUCUAUGUUUUCAUAUGGUAUAUCCUUUAAAUUUAAGGUCCAUACUACCCUUAAAGUAAAAGGACUAUACCAAAAUCCAUGUAGUUUCACCUCUGCCAUCCUAG
rnacentral:lncRNA from 1 species